rnacentral:rRNA from 1 species
AUGACUGUGCGUGGUCAGUUGCCUGGGGUUCAUUCAGGGCGGCGUGUUUGCUCUGCGGCUCGCCGGCCGCUCCGUUCUUGCCGACCUGGUGGGUUUACUUAUCCUUGUGUACUUGCAGUAGAGUGUGGUCAUCUUAUUUGGUUAUUUGAUUUCGUAGGUGGCCAGCGUUUCGAUUCGGAUCAGUUUCUUAGUGGAGAUCUUGAUAGCCGCUGUCGAGAGAUUUCGUUAGGGAAGCGGCAUGUUGAUUGCACUGUUGGUUCGAUCAUUACUGCUGGUUCUUCCACGUUUGAGGGCCUUGUGUCUACUGCUCGGCCCGCCAUUACGCGAACUGCUUCAUCGGUCGUGCAGAUGGUUGACAGGUCAAUUGGUCGCCCUUCUGCUCUUCCUGCCGGUGUCCAUUUUGACCGUUAUUUAGUUGGUGCUCCGUCUGUGGUUAACCGUCCAAGAGUGGUGCCUUUCCGUGUGGCUGGUGCCUUUGGUCGGCCUACUCCUCUUGGUAAGUUCAACUUUUUUACUGUGCCUGUGCAGCUGCUGCUACUGAUAAUUUCCUUUUGUAUCUGA